rnacentral:rRNA from 1 species
CCCUUAGAUGUUCUGGGCCGCGCGCGCGCUACACUGAUGCAUUCAACGAGUCUAAAACCUGCUCUGAUAGGGGUGGGUAAUCUUUUGAAUGUGCAUCGUGAUUGGGAUAGAUGAUUGAAAUUUUUCAUCUUCAACGAGGAAUGCCUAGUAAACGCAAGUCAUCAGCUUGCAUUGAUUACGUCCCUGCCCUUUGUACACACCGCCCGUCGCUCCUACCGAUUGAAUGAUCCGAUGAAUAUCAUGGAUUGAGGAUGCAAGUAGGUUCACCUAUCUUCAUCUUCGAGAAGUGAAGUAAAUCUUAUCAUUUAGAGGAAGGAGAAGUCGUAACA